rnacentral:rRNA from 1 species
ACGCGAAGAACCUUACCAAGGCUUGACAUAUAGAGGAAAAGCGUAGAAAUACGCUCCCCGCAAGGUCUCCUAUACAGGUGGUGCAUGGUUGUCGUCAGCUCGUGUCGUGAGAUGUUGGGUUAAGUCCCGCAACGAGCGCAACCCUCGUCCUAUGUUGCCAGCACGUAAUGGUGGGAACUCAUGGGAUACUGCCGGGGUCAACUCGGAGGAAGGUGGGGAUGACGUCAAAUCAUCAUGCCCCUUAUGUCUUGGGCUUCACGCAUGCUACAAUGGCCGGUACAGAGGGCAGCAAUACCGCAAGGUGGAGCGAAUCCCACAAAGCCGGUCUCAGUUCGGAUUGAGGUCUGCAACUCGACCUCAUGAAGUUGGAGUCGCUAGUAAUCGCAAAUCAGCAACGUUGCGGUGAAUACGUUCCCGGCCUUGGUACACACCGCCCGUCAAGUCAUGAAAGU